GCCCCCGCCGCCCUGCCUGUCACCCCUUCUAACAUGAUGAUGGUAACUCCCAUCAAUGACCUGCAGGGCUGGGAGCCUGGCAGCAUGGUGAAGGGGGAGAGGUUGAUGCGCUGCAAGCUGGCCAGUGUCCAUCGGCUGUUUGACCUGUACGGCUGGGCCCAGAUCAGCCGCAGCUGUCUCACUCUGCGUGUCAGUAAAGAACAGGAACACUUCCUGGUGCUUUCAGACGGCCUGGCCUACGUGAGGUGACUGGAUCCAGUCUGUUAAAGGGAACAUCCUGGGUGAGGUGGUGGAGAAAGGCAGCACCAACCUGGGCGUGGACCCAGAGAAGUUCAGCCUGCACUCAGCCAUCUACUCCGCCCGGCCAGAUGUUCGCUGUCUGCUUCACCUCCACACAACGG